CAAGCGGUGGAGCAUGUGGUUUAAUUCGAAGCAACGCGAAGAACCUUACCAAAUCUUGACAUCCUUUGAAAACUCUAGAGAUAGAGCCUUCCCCUUCGGGGGACAAAGUGACAGGUGGUGCAUGGUUGUCGUCAGCUCGUGUCGUGAGACGUUGGGUUAAGUCCCGCAACGAGCGCAACCCUUAAGCUUAGUUGCCAUCAUUAAGUUGGGCACUCUAGGUUGACUGCCGGUGACAAACCGGAGGAAGGUGGGGAUGACGUCAAAUCAUCAUGCCCCUUAUGAUUUGGGCUACACACGUGCUACAAUGGACAAUACAAAGGGCAGCUAAACCGCGAGGUCAUGCAAAUCCCAUAAAGUUGUUCUCAGUUCGGAUUGUAGUCUGCAACUCGACUACAUGAAGCUGGAAUCGCUAGUAAUCGUAGAUCAGCAUGCUACGGUGAAUACUUUCCCGGGUCUUGUACACACC
rnacentral:rRNA from 1 species